AACACUACUAGAGCUGUGUGAGAAUGGAGGAAGAAAACUCCGAUUCUAGCAAAAGAAGCUCAACUUCCAGCGAAGACAGCGCUCCCUAUUCCCCUCACUAUUCUAGCCAUGCUACAAACCCCAUUAAUUCUCAAGAAGAAGAAGAAGAAUCAAGCGAUGAUCAUCGAACCAAGCACCAAUCUUUAAAGAAGAUCGAAUCAGCACCUUAUCUAACACCAUCCUCCUCAGAAUUCUCUCCUCUUUGCCCACCAAAGACGCUAUCAAAACAGGCGUUUUGUCCGAAAGAUGGGCCUAUCUUUGGACCUCCGUUCCCUCUCUCGGCUUCACCGCCGUGAAUGAGGCUCUGCUUCUACACAGAGCUCCAAAACUCACAAAUUUCUCUGUUCUGUUGGUGUACGAGUCAGAACAAAAGACUCGCCUGGAUCGUUGGGUACGUUUUGCCACAACUGGCAAGGUUGACCGACUUAGUCUACGUUCAUCAUCGAGUUAUAUCAAACCUUAUGGAUACACAUUGCCGCAGCAUCUCUACGCUGAUGAGUUUGUUUCUGAAUUGGAUUUUCAUUUCUGCGAAAUUAAGCCUAAUGGGUUAGUGGGUUGGAGUUCACUCAAGCGCUUGUGUAUUGGGUACACGGCUUUGUCUGAAGAUGUGAUAAACAAAGUGUUAAUGGGGUAGUCCUAGACUUGAAUUCUUGAAAUUGCAUAAUUGUUAUCAGUUUAAUCGGUUGGAUAUGGUGUAGGAUAAAGGAUGUUUCGACAUUGAUUGAGGUUAAGCUCAAUUUCGAGCUGUUGGUGAAAUAUGAAAGCAUAGAGGAGGAUGCUUGUAAGGAACACCGAGAUAUUGUGAAAGAACUUCUUCAGAGUCUGCAUCAUGUCAAGAAUCUUACUGUUGGCAAAUGGUGUCUCAUGGUUGGUUUUAAUUUCUUAAAUCUCUCUGUUAAUUAUUUUUCUUUGUUUCGAUUGUCAUAUGAAACACUUCCAUGUUUUUCUUGACUGCAAAUGUUGAUUACUUUUUGAGAAUCUGCAUCAAGUGAAGAAACUUAUUGUUGGCAAAUGGUGUCUAAAGCUUGGACAUAGCAUGUUAGAGACAGCAACUUGUUAAAAUUCAGACCAUACAUAUGUCGCAGGACCAGCAUACUUAGCACAAAGAAAAGGCAUUUCUUUUUGUUGAUUGUUUCUAGAUAGAUGUUAUGAUGAAGUAAACCAUUGGAAAUCAAAGGAGAUCUAUUUCAAGUCUUUGCUACGACACCUCAAGAUUGUCAAGAUCUUUGGUUUUGGAAAUUUUUUACACACAAAAGAAGUAUUCAUUUCAAUGGUACAAUUUCUACUUAAGAAUGCAAAGGUACUGGAGAAGAUGACUAUCACUGAACCAUGGUUUAUGCGAAAUCAAACUUGUUUUUGGGGUCGUGAAUUUCUACAAGUGGCUCAAAAGUUGUUAAGCUUCCCUAGAUCCUCUCCUAAUACAAUGAUUAUGUUCUCAUAUGAGAAAAAUCAUUUUAAGUUGUUCAAUCCUCUUAAAUGAUCAAAUUUUCAUAAAAACAUAACUAGUUAUGCAUAUUAGUUUGGUUCAAUGAACUAAAAUAUUGCUAUGAUUAGCUGUUGAUUUCAUGUACUUAUGUUUUCGUUGUGAUGUUAAACUUGCU